rnacentral:rRNA from 1 species
UACGAAGGGGGCUAGCGUUGCUCGGAAUCACUGGGCGUAAAGGGUGCGUAGGCGGGGCUUUAAGUCAGGGGUGAAAUCCUGGGGCUCAACUCCAGAACUGCCUUUGAUACUGAGGAUCUUGAGUUCGGGAGAGGUGAGUGGAACUGCGAGUGUAGAGGUGAAAUUCGUAGAUAUUCGCAAGAACACCAGUGGCGAAGGCGGCUCACUGGACUGGUAUUGACGCUGAGGUGCGAAAGCGUGGGGAGCAAACAGG